rnacentral:rRNA from 1 species
UACGAAGGGGGCUAGCGUUGCUCGGAAUCACUGGGCGUAAAGCGCACGUAGGCGGUCUUUUAAGUCAGGGGUGAAAGCCCGAGGCUCAACCUCGGAACUGCCUUCGAUACUGGCGAUCUUGAGUCCGGGAGAGGUGAGUGGAACUCCGAGUGUAGAGGUGAAAUUCGUAGAUAUUCGGAAGAACACCAGUGGCGAAGGCGGCUCACUGGCCCGGUACUGACGCUGAGAUGCGAAAGCGUGGGGAGCAAACAGG